rnacentral:rRNA from 1 species
GGAUGUUGGUUAAGUCCCGCAACGAGCGCAACCCUUACGGUUAGUUGCUACGAAAGAGCACUCUAGCCGGACUGCCGUUGACAAAACGGAGGAAGGCGGGGACGACGUCAAAUCAUCAUGCCCCUUACGUUCCGGGCUACACACGUACUACAAUGGCGCAAACAAAGGGAAGCGAGAUCGCGAGAUGGAGCAAACCCCAUAAAAGGCGUCCCAGUUCGGACUGCAGGCUGCAACCCGCCUGCACGAAGUUGGAAUUGCUAGUAAUCGCGGAUCAGCAUGCCGCGGUGAAUACGUUCCCGGGCUUU